rnacentral:rRNA from 1 species
UACGAAGGGGGCUAGCGUUGUUCGGAAUUACUGGGCGUAAAGCGCACGUAGGCGGCGCAGCAAGUUGGGGGUGAAAUCCCGAGGCCCAACCUCGGAAUUGCCUUCAAAACUGCUGUGCUCGAGUUCGGAAGAGGUGAGUGGAAUUCCCAGUGUAGAGGUGAAAUUCGUAGAGAUUGGGAAGAACACCAGUGGCGAAGGCGGCUCACUGGUCCGCAACUGACGCUGAGGUGCGAAAGCGUGGGGAGCAAACAGG